CCAGGGGAUGACGGUAGCUGUCUGGGAGAGGGAGCUCCUGCUUCAGCGGAGCAGAGAGCAUCUCAGGGGCAUUCCGGCUUGGAUGUGGGUCGGGCGUAAUGCUUGGUCUACGGUGCUUAGAUGGCAGAGCAGGCCUAGCUGGGCUCUCGAUGGGCUUGCUACCUGGGAACAAGGCCUGUGGAAUGGCUAAGCUAUUGCUGUUCAUUGAGGGGACUUGUUUGAUAUUUUUGCAGAUGCCGAGGGAGGAGUCGUGCAGGGCGACGGAGGAGGGCCGAGGAUAGCGCUGUAAGCAGGUGGUGGUCGAGCUUGAACAUGGCAGUUGGAUCUGAUGGCGUCCAAGUGCCGCAAUCAGCCUUCAGAGGGGAGACGACGCAUGGCGACGAGGUGUCCGAGAAGAUGGUGUGCGGCUGCCCUUGGGACUGGAUGCGCAUUUGAGGGGCCACAAGGGAGGACAACAGUGUGAGUUGGGCACGGCCACAGAGCAAGUGAGCAGAGCAGCUGGGCGCAUCUGAGAUGACGAAGAGGCAGCUGGUGACUGGAGGAGUGACGUGUGCUUGUCCUUCAGAAGGAAGGGAAGAGGGAGACUCUCGGCCCCUUGAAAGCUAAAUGCCGAGGGAGGAGUCGUGCAGGGCGACGGAGGAGGGCCGAGGAUAGCGCUGUAAGCAGGUGGUGGUCGAGCUUGAACAUGGCAGUUGGAUCUGAUGGCGUCCAAGUGCCGCAAUCAGCCUUCAGAGGGGAGACGACGCAUGGCGACGAGGUGUCUGAGAAGAUGGUGUGCGGCUGCCCUUGGGACUGGAUGCGCAUUUGAGGGGCCACAAGGGAGGACAACAGUGUGAGUUGGGCACGGCCACAGAGCAAGUGAGCAGAGCAGCUGGGCGCAUCUGAGAUGACGAAGAGGCAGCUGGUGACUGGAGGAGUGACGUGUGCUUGUCCUUCAGAAGGAAGGGAAGAGGGAGACUCUCGGCCCCUUGAAAGCUAAGUUGAGGCAACGGUGCUGGGGAAGGGGUUGGGGGAGCGAGGGGGGCACGGUUGGCUGUGGCAGGAAGGGGUUUUAAAGAGAGCGUAGGGGAGAGGGUUGUCUAGGAAGCGGUCCCCUUUGAGCAGGGGAAUGGAGCGGGUUCCUCUGAAAUAUGACAGGAACGUGUGCCCUGGGCAGGGCGGUUCCAGGCUGUGCAUGUUGUUGUGUAGUGCGUCUGUGUGUUUGGUGUUGGGUGCGUUUGACCUUCCUCGGGUCUCGGUUGUUCUUUGUUCCGUAGGAUCGAGGCGGGUGCCUCGGCAGCGUUAGUAGGGCCCGGCGAGGCCCUAGUUGUGGGCUCGGCGCCCAUCGGGCGCUUCUCUUUUGGCGUCGCAAGCUUCCAGCGUGGAUCGUUUUGGCGUCUCGGGUGGUUCUGGCCGGUGGUCUUGUGCUGC